UACAGAGGGUGCGAGCGUUGUUCGGAAUUACUGGGCGUAAAGGGCGCGUAGGCGGCGACUCUAGUCAGAUGUGAAAGUCCUGGGCUUAACCUGGGGACUGCAUUUGAUACUGGGUUGCUUGAAUUCGGGAGAGGAUAGCGGAAUUCCCAGUGUAGAGGUGAAAUUCGUAGAUAUUGGGAAGAACACCGGUGGCGAAGGCGGCUAUCUGGACCGACAUUGACGCUGAGGCGCGAAAGCGUGGGGAGCAAACAGG
rnacentral:rRNA from 1 species